AAAAUUUCUUUCAUAUAAAAAAUCCCCAAAAUGCAUAUAUGUUUUAGAUAAUUUGAUAAAGAAGAAAAAGUAUACUUGCAAAAUCUAAGUACCAAUUACCAAACUCGAACUGCUUCCAAUAUUUCGAGACCUUAAAUUCUGCUACCAAAAUCAAGCAUGUAUCCUCCAAAUAGAAUAGAAAGUUGAAAAUUUUACCCAAAUACAAUGCAAUGAGCA
rnacentral:misc_RNA from 1 species